GAGUUUGAUCCUGGCUCAGAUUGAACGCUAGCGGGAUGCCUUACACAUGCAAGUCGAACGGCAGCACGGACUUCGGUCUGGUGGCGAGUGGCGAACGGGUGAGUAAUGUAUCGGAACGUGCCUAGUAGCGGGGGAUAACUACGCGAAAGCGUAGCUAAUACCGCAUACGCCCUACGGGGGAAAGCAGGGGAUCGCAAGACCUUGCACUAUUAGAGCGGCCGAUAUCGGAUUAGCUAGUUGGUGGGGUAAUGGCUCACCAAGGCGACGAUCCGUAGCUGGUUUGAGAGGACGACCAGCCACACUGGGACUGAGACACGGCCCAGACUCCUACGGGAGGCAGCAGUGGGGAAUUUUGGACAAUGGGGGAAACCNUGAUCCAGCCAUCCCGCGUGUGCGAUGAAGGCCUUCGGGUUGUAAAGCACUUUUGGCAGGAAAGAAACGUCAUGGGUUAAUACCCCGUGAAACUGACGGUACCUGCAGAAUAAGCACCGGC
rnacentral:rRNA from 1 species